rnacentral:rRNA from 1 species
GACGAACGCUGGCGGCGUGCUUAACACAUGCAAGUCGAACGGAAAGGCCCUGCUUUUGUGGGGUGCUCGAGUGGCGAACGGGUGAGUAACAAGUGAGUAACCUGCCCUUGACUUUGGGAUAACUUCAGGAAACUGGGGCUAAUACCGGAUAGGAGCUCCUGCUGCAUGGUGGGGGUUGGAAAGUUUCGGCGGUUGGGGAUGGACUCGCGGCUUAUCAGCUUGUUGGUGGGGUAGUGGCUUACCAAGGCUUUGACGGGUAGCCGGCCUGAGAGGGUGACCGGCCACAGUGGGACUGAGAUACGGCCCAGACUCCUACGGGAGGCAGCAGUGGGGAAUAUUGCACAAUGGGCGGAAGCCUGAUGCAGCAACGCCGCGUGCGGGAUGACGGCCUUCGGGUUGUAAACCGCUUUCGCCUGUGACGAAGCGUGAGUGACGGUAAUGGGUAAAGAAGUACCGGCUAACUACGUG